rnacentral:rRNA from 1 species
GAUGAACGCUGGCGGCGUGCCUAAUACAUGCAAGUCGAGCGAACAGACGAGGAGCUUGCUCCUCUGACGUUAGCGGCGGACGGGUGAGUAACACGUGGAUAACCUACCUAUAAGACUGGGAUAACUUCGGGAAACCGGAGCUAAUACCGGAUAAUAUAUUGAACCGCAUGGUUCAAUAGUGAAAGACGGUUUUGCUGUCACUUAUAGAUGGAUCCGCGCCGCAUUAGCUAGUUGGUAAGGUAACGGCUUACCAAGGCAACGAUGCGUAGCCGACCUGAGAGGGUGAUCGGCCCCCCUGAAACUGGGACCCGGUCCCGAACCCUACGGGAGGCAGAAGUGGGGAAUCUUCCGCAAUGGGCGAAACCCGGACGGAGCAACGCCGCGUGGGUGAUGAAGUUUUCCGGUUCGUAAACCCCUUUUAUUAGGGAAAAAAAAAUGUUUAAGUAACUUUGCAGGUUUUGACGGUACCAAAUCAGAAAGCCCCGGCUAACCCCGU